rnacentral:lncRNA from 1 species
ACACUGAGUUGCUGGAGCGCGCGUACAAGUACAUGCGCGCGGACGAGGGAGCUUCGGACCGACGCCUGGCUGAGCCCAAAAGCCCGAAGGAGAAGCAGAGGAAGGGUCGGGACCCUGCUGUGCCUAGCAGGCCCCCGACCAACGGUCGGGGAUCACCCCCACGAUGGGACCAGAGGUCGCCCCGACGUCGGAGCCCGAGGCCGACACGCCCCAGGUACGAUU